rnacentral:rRNA from 1 species
CCCUUAGAGUUUGAUCCUGGCUCAGAUUGAACGCUGGCGGCAGGCUUAACACAUGCAAGUCGAACGGUAACAUAAAGAAGUUUGCUUCUUUGAUGACGAGUGGCGGACGGGUGAGUAAUGCUUGGGAAUCUAGCUUAUGGAGGGGGAUAACUACGGGAAACUGUAGCUAAUACCGCGUAGUAUCGAGAGAUGAAAGUGUGGGACCUUCGGGCCACAUGCCAUAGGAUGAGCCCAAGUGGGAUUAGGUAGUUGGUGAGGUAAAGGCUCACCAAGCCGACGAUCUCUAGCUGGUCUGAGAGGAUGACCAGCCACACUGGGACUGAGACACGGCCCAGACUCCUACGGGAGGCAGCAGUGGGGAAUAUUGCGCAAUGGGGCAACCCUGACGCAGCCAUGCCGCGUGAAUGAAGAAGGCCUUCGGGUUGUAAAGUUCUUUCGGUAGCGAGGAA